rnacentral:rRNA from 1 species
UACGGAGGGUGCGAGCGUUGUCCGGAAUCAUUGGGCGUAAAGGGCGCGUAGGUGGCCCGGUCAGUUCGUGGUGAAAGCGCGGGGCUCAACCCUGCGUCGGCCAUGAAUACUGCCGCGGCUGGAGCACUGUAGAGGCAGGCGGAAUUCCGGGUGUAGCGGUGGAAUGCGUAGAGAUCCGGAAGAACACCGGUGGCGAAGGCGGCCUGCUGGGCAGUUGCUGACACUGAGGCGCGACGAGCGUGGGGAGCAAACAGGG